rnacentral:lncRNA from 1 species
GAGCUGGUUGCUUGACAUUUGACUUGGGCCUUGCUACUACACCAGCUUGUUUUAUAAGCACAUUGCUGCCACCAUUUGCUUACGAUGCUUCAAUCAUGGUAGAGUAAAAAAAGCAGUCUUCACUAAAAUCUGUGCUGAAAAAAAAUGUUAAAACAACUAUGGUAAAUUUGUAUGUAAUUUGUGUUGCAGAUGACGGCUUCUCACUUACCCUACACUCGCAAUGGUCUGAAAUUUUUUACAAAGAAAGGAGGUUUAACUUCGCCGGAAGUGGAAGAGAUAUGUGACAAAGCUGCUCAUAAGUACGCCAACAGGCUCACAAAAGUGUCGACCAUGCUUAACUCUCCUCCGAAAAAGGUUGA